AGGUAGGAGAAUUGCUUGAACCUGGGAGGUGGAGGUUGCAGUGAGCUGAGAUCACGCCACUGCACUCUAGCCUGGCGCC
rnacentral:miRNA from 1 species